UACGUAGGUGGCAAGCGUUGUCCGGAAUUAUUGGGCGUAAAGCGCGCGUAGGCGGUCCUUUAAGUCUGAUGUGAAAGCCCACGGCUCAACCGUGGAGGGUCAUUGGAAACUGGGGGACUUGAGUACAGGAGAGAAAAGUGGAAUUCCACGUGUAGCGGUGAAAUGCGUAGAGAUGUGGAGGAACACCAGUGGCGAAGGCGACUUUUUGGCCUGUAACUGACGCUGAGGCGCGAAAGCGUGGGGAGCAAACAGG
rnacentral:rRNA from 1 species